CUGAGAAAAGCUGCAAGAGUUGGUCUUUGACAAAACACAAGGAGUCCAGAGAUGCAGUUGAAUCCAGGAAGAAGAGCACUCACUUCCUGUUGGGGCGCCUGAGGAAGAUAAGACGCCCUCUUUGUUUGCGGCUACUGCCUCCGAGUAGGCGACUGAGGAAUCUUCUAGGCCCAAGCACACGUCAAGGGAUCUGCAUCUCCUGAUCCUGUCUAUACUCCUGCCUCC